CUACUCAUAUUCAUGUUCUAUCUUCUCUUUCAUUUUCUCUUUUCUUCUGCAUAUUUUUUUCUUACUACUAAUGUUUGUUCUUCUUAUUUUGCAGAGAAAGAAGAAUAAAAGAAAAUGAAAUCUUCACAAAGGAUACAUAAAGAUACAAACCUUUACCAAAAAAAAAAAAAAGAUACAAACAAAAAUGAGAAGAAAACAAGAAACAGAGAUACAUACAGAUACAAAUAAAUAUGAGGAGGAAAAAAAGAAAGAAAGUUUGAUUUAGGAGCUUAGACAAAGAAGCAAACCUCUCAUACAAAGAUGUAAAAAGAAAAGAAAGUAUGUUUCUGGCACAGUGAUACAAUUUCAAGCACGAUUCCGAUUCGGUG